GACGAACGCUGGCGGCGUGCCUAAUACAUGCAAGUUGAGCGCUGAAGGUUGGUACUUGUACCAACUGGAUGAGCAGCGAACGGGUGAGUAACGCGUGGGGAAUCUGCCUUUGAGCGGGGGACAACAUUUGGAAACGAAUGCUAAUACCGCAUAAAAACUUUAAACACAAGUUUUAAGUUUGAAAGAUGCAAUUGCAUCACUCAAAGAUGAUCCCGCGUUGUAUUAGCUAGUUGGUGAGGUAAAGGCUCACCAAGGCGAUGAUACAUAGCCGACCUGAGAGGGGUGAUGGCCACAUUUGGAAUGAGACACGGCCCAAACCUCCUAGGGAGGCAGCAGGAGGGAAUCUUUGGCAAUGGACGGAAGUCUGACCGAGGCACGCCGCGGGAGUGAAGAAGGUUUUCGGAUCGUAAAAAUCCUUUUGUAGAGAAGAACGGUGGUUAGAGUGGAAAGCCCAUCAAGUGACGGUAACUACCCAGAAAGGGACGGCUAACUACGUG
rnacentral:rRNA from 1 species